AUUGAACGCUGGCGGCAGGCUUAACACAUGCAAGUCGAGCGAGCGGCGGACGGGUGAGUAAUGUCUGGGAAACUGCAUGAUGGAGGGGGAUAACUACUGGAAACGGUAGCUAAUACCGCCUAGCAUACGAUGUGGCCAAAUGGGCUUAGCUAGUAGGUGGGGUAAUGGCACACCGAGGCGACGAUCCCUAGCUGGUCUGAGAGGAAGACCAGCCACACUGGAACUGAGACACGGUCCAGACUCCUACGGGAGGCAGCAGUGGGGAAUAUUGCACAAUGGGCGCAAGCCUGAUGCAGCCAUGCCGCGUGUGUGAAGAAGGCCUUCGGGUUGUAAAGCACUUUCAGCGAGGAGGCGUUACUCGCAGAAGAAGCACCGGCUAACUCCGUGCCAGCAGCCGCGGUAAUAC
rnacentral:rRNA from 1 species